rnacentral:tRNA from 1 species
GGGGGUAUAGCUCAGGGGUAGAGCUUUUGACUGCAGAUGAAGAGGUCCCUGGUUCAAAUGUAGGUGUCUCCU